rnacentral:piRNA from 1 species
UCCUCGUCGUCCUCCUGGUUUGGAGUUAAC